AGCAGCCGCCGCGGGAAUACGGAGGAUCCAAGCGUUAUCCGGAAUCAUUGGGUUUAAAGGGUCCGUAGGCGGUCUUGUAAGUCAGUGGUGAAAGCCCAUCGCUCAACGGUGGAACGGCCAUUGAUACUGCAGGACUUGAAUUAUUGGGAAGUAACUAGAAUAUGUAGUGUAGCGGUGAAAUGCUUAGAGAUUACAUGGAAUACCAAUUGCGAAGGCAGGUUACUACCAAUUGAUUGACGCUGAUGGACGAAAGCGUGGGUAGCGAACAGGAUUAGAUACCCGUGUAGUCCCUGUCUCUUAUAC
rnacentral:rRNA from 1 species